ensembl:snRNA U6 U6 spliceosomal RNA
AUUAUGGAUAAAGACUAAUAUUUCAUUUGGAAUGAUAAAGAAAAGAUUUGCAUGGCCCCCUGUGCAAAGGUAACAUGUACAUUUGUGAAGUGUCCCAUAUUUUA